UACGAAGGGGGCUAGCGUUGCUCGGAAUCACUGGGCGUAAAGCGCACGUAGGCGGACUCUUAAGUCGGGGGUGAAAGCCCAGGGCUCAACCCUGGAACUGCCUUCGAUACUGGGAGUCUUGAGUGUGGAAGAGGUUGGUGGAACUGCGAGUGUAGAGGUGAAAUUCGUAGAUAUUCGCAAGAACACCAGUGGCGAAGGCGGCCAACUGGUCCACUACUGACGCUGAGGUGCGAAAGCGUGGGGAGCAAACAGGG
rnacentral:rRNA from 1 species